rnacentral:rRNA from 1 species
CCUGAGAAACGGCUACUACAUCCAAGGAAGGCAGCAGGCACGCAAAUUACCCACUCCCGGCACGGGGAGGUAGUGACAAAAAAUAACGAUACGGGACUCAUCCGAGGCCCCGUAAUCGGAAUGAGUACACUUUAAAACCUUUAACAAGUACCAAAUGGAGGGCAAGUCUGGUGCCAGCAGCCGCGGUAAUUCCAGCUCCAUUAGCGUAUAUUAAAGUUGUUGCGGUUAAAAAGCUCGUAGUUGGUUCUGUGUCCCGCGCUGCCGGUUCACCGCCUGCCGGUGCAACUGGCAUGCCGCGGGAUGUACUGUCGGUGGCGUCCCCCACCCCCGGCGCGUGUAGGCUAACGCCGAAGCGCGCCGGUGCGUGUGAGGGACGCCGAUCUAAUCCUGCCGCGGUGCUCUUCAGUGAGUGUCGAGGUAGGCCGACACGUUUACUUUGAACAAAUUAGAGUGCUUAAAGCAGGCUAACAAUGCCUGUAUACCUGGGCAUGGAAUAAUGGAAUAGGACCUCGGUUCUAUUUUGUUGGUUUCCUGAACCCGAGGUAAUGAUCAAUAUGGACAGGCGGGGGCAUUCGUAUUGCGACGUUAGACUUGGCAAAUGCUUUCGC